AUACGUAGGGGGCGAGCGUUGUCCGGAAUGAUUGGGCGUAAAGGGCGCGUAGGCGGCCCGGUAAGUCUGGAGUGAAAGUCCUGUUUUUAAGAUGGGAAUUGCUUUGGAUACUGUCGGGCUUGAGUGCAGGAGAGGUAAGUGGAAUUCCCAGUGUAGCGGUGAAAUGCGUAGAGAUUGGGAGGAACACCAGUGGCGAAGGCGACUUACUGGACUGUAACUGACGCUUAGGCGCGAAAGUGUGGGGAGCAAACAGGAUUAGAUACCCUGGUAGUCCACACUGUAAACGAUGAAUGCUAGGUGUAGGGGGUAUCGACCCCUUCUGUGCCGCAGUCAACACAAUAAGCAUUCCGCCUGGGGAGUACGGCCGCAAGGUUGAAACUCAAAUGAAUUGACGGGG
rnacentral:rRNA from 1 species